rnacentral:lncRNA from 1 species
GUUUCAAAGUUGUCCAUCUUGCAGAGCAGACAACAGAGAACUUCACUGCAACAGCGAAGCGGGCAUGUUAAGACUUCUAAUCAAGCCUAGACUUGAGGUAUUCUACUAUUAGACCACUGCCAAAAGCACAGCCCAGGUGAUGUAAAGAGGCACCGGCCCCCAAAGCCACUGCAGGUGGGGGCAAGCAGGAAGCAGCUGUGGAUGAAAGCAAGCACAGUUCUGCAAGAUUUUGGAACUAAGGUGGUAGGGGAAAAGACAGAAAGAAUUCUCCUUGGAAACAUAGACCUUCAGACUUUUACCAGCAUUACACUAAGCUCCAAAGAAAUGGAAGCCUAAUUUAAAUCUUCCUGGAAAUACUCUUUAAGACUUCAAGAAAUAAAAUUUCUAUUUGUUCAUCCA